rnacentral:tRNA from 1 species
AGCAGAGUGGUCUAGUGGAUAGAGCACAGGCCCAUGAGUCAGAAAGCCCUGGGUUCUAAUCCCAGCUCUGCCA